UGUUGGGCAUCUUCGGGUUCUCCUCUCC
rnacentral:sRNA from 1 species